GGAGAGGGGGGGUGGGGGGAAGAGGGCCCUGCGGUUCUUCGGCUUAUUCUUCGGCUUAUUCUUCUUUAAGUAUGACCUCCCACGGCGCGGUCACUCUGUACAGAAUUAGCCCGCCAUACGUCCAGUUUGGGAGACCUGGAUGUGUCACUGUAGAGGAAGAACCCCCCCCUGGCUUUUGUUUACCAUUGUGAGCCGCAGCAGCUCGAACCCCCCAGAGGAAAUACCUCUGCAUCAUUUCGGACCAACUGUCACACCAAGGAUGGGUUUCCCAUUCAAUGCAGCUCUGAAACCAGCUGAAGACCAAACUGGAGGAACUUCUGCCUUUAAAUCAGCCCCAGCACCAUCGACGGACCACUUCCACGGCCAGCCAGUCUUUUGGAGGUAAAGGGACGAAGAGGCAUUGUGGAGAUGACCUCUUUUUUUGGGGGGCUUUUUGGGACACGGGUGCCCUCCUGGGACAUUGGAUCUCUCUCGCUCUCUCCUCCUUUCUUCCUGCAGCAUGAUCAUCUUUCAGGACAUCUGCCAAGAUCGUGGGCUAGUGUGACUUCCAUCAAGCACACUCUUGUAGCAAAACGCUGGCUUUAGAGUCACUAAAUUGGCUGAAAGGCCGUGAGUUUCAGUUCUUCGUGUAAAUGCCCGAAAGACUCCAUCAUUUGGGCUUUUUCAGUCAGAUUUGGGUUAGACUCUUAUCAGGCUGCAUGUAAACGUAGUCACUGAUGCUUCCUGAAAAGGUUUAAAAAAGAAAAAAUCCCCCACAUGCUCUAUAAUUAGAUCAAAUCAGUUUGAUAAUGAUCAAACUGCUCCUGUUACCUGGGAAGAGAUUAAAGACACACGAUACUGUAGCAAAGAUCAAGGCCUGUGAUUAAAUUAAAUUCAUAGGGUGUGUGUUUUUUUUGGGUUUGGUUUUUGCACUACCUCAUCACCAUAACAAGUCCCAACAGGAGCAAAUGGGUGCGUGAUCGGUAAAAGAAAUGUAAUGGUUGUCAAGCGCCACAGCAGUUUUUAUAUAAGUUGUUCCUGGGUAAAUUUAGUCAAAUAAGUGACGCAGCUGACAGGCGAACAGGAGCAGCCGGAAGCACACGAUUGAACCAUUUUUGAGGGAAACGUUGACUCACUCAAACUGUGGUCCCCUAUGCAUCUGUUCUAAAGUAAGGUCACAAGAUAGUAUUUUUACUCUACGAUUAAAAAAAAAAAUUCUCCAUUUUGGUGCUCUCCUUUGGUCAAGUCUGCAGGUUUAUUCACAAAUUGAAGAUCAUAUUCCUGUUGUGACUUAAUCCUUGAUAUCCUUAAAAAUCCGGCAAUUGCCAGUUUUUAAAGUCAGUCUUUAUAUUACCAAAGUCUAGUCCAGUAUUUGUCCUUUUUAUUUUUUUCUUCAUUUGUCUUUCCGCCCCUUAACAUAUAUAUAUAUAUAUAAUUUAUUUAUGUCGGCGUUAACAUGAGCUCUCAUCUAAGAGACUGAUAAACAUUCUUAACACACUGCAGUUAGCUCUAGACACAAAUUACUAUUUGAUUCCUUUUUGUGGCAUGAACAGCGAGACAAAAUAACUCAAAAAGUAACAGAAUCUGGCUUAUCAGACCUAAUGCUUUGUCUCUACCUGCAGUUUCCAAUGCGUCCAGUAAGCAGAGAGA